rnacentral:rRNA from 1 species
GACUCUCAGAAAUGGAUAUCUCUACUCUCGCAUUGAUGAAGAACAUAGCAAAAUGCGGCACUUGGUGUGAAUUGUGCAAUCCUGUGAACCAUCGAGUCUUUGAAUGCAAGUUAUGGCCGAAGCCAUUAGGCCGAAUGCACAUCUACCUAGGAUUAG